UACGAAGGGGGCUAGCGUUGUUCGGAAUUACUGGGCGUAAAGCGCACGUAGGCGGAUCGAUCAGUCAGGGGUGAAAUCCCAGGGCUCAACCCUGGAACUGCCUUCGAUACUGGCGAUCUUUGAGUCCGGGAGAGGUGAGUGGAACUCCGAGUGUAGAGGUGAAAUUCGUAGAUAUUCGGAAGAACACCAGUGGCGAAGGCGGCUCACUGGCCCGGUACUGACGCUGAGGUGCGAAAGCGUGGGGAGCAAACAGGG
rnacentral:rRNA from 1 species